GGAAAAUGAAAAUUGGAGUUUUCUUAGAAAUGGAAAAUGAAAAAUACGGAACUGUUUUCCGCAAGUGAACAGGCCCACAGUGUCUGUAGAAAAUUUUUUUGAGGAAAGCAUUUUGAAAAAAUAAUUUGUUUUCUGCUAUGUUAUAGCAAUGUUGAAAAUAAGUUGGAAAAAUUAUAUUCUACUGUUUGGAGUAACUGGGAAAUUCUUAAUUUUCUCUUAGUAUAUAAGACUGAAAAUGUUUGGACUUGCAAGUUAUAUGUAGUUGAAUAUGAGAGGAAGUUACACUAAAGAGCAUGUAAAAUGUGAUUGGGCAUCUGUGGCAGCUGCUGGUGGUUGGUGAUGAUUGCUGGUGCUUGAUGGACUAAUGGAUAUGUGACUGUAAAUUCCUUUGUAGGUUCCUUCCCUUUUUAUUAGGUGAUCAGAGUCCCGAAAAUGACUUCCCAAUUUUAAAGGAAAAAGUGUUUUUUUUUUU
rnacentral:misc_RNA from 1 species